GGAGGGCAGUGCUGAUUCAGCAAGUGAUUGGAGAUUAUGGAUUUGUAGAGUUCGAAGCGAAGUGAGGUGAGAAAAGGAGGAAAGCUGACCCUGUGACUGAAUCUUUGGUGGUUGUAGAUGGACAAGUAGAUAUUGAAGAGAGGUGAAGCUUUUGAGAUGUUGGAUGCUUAAUGUUAUCGGAUUGUACAUGGUAAGUCCUGUAAUAGAACAAGGCAACUCCCAAUGUUCAAUAUCUUCGUCACUCCCAUCAUGAAAGAUUAUUAACUCUGUU
rnacentral:misc_RNA from 1 species